GAGUCUAGCAUGUGCGCGAGUCAUUGGGACUCUAACGAAACCUAAAGGCGCAAUGAAAGUGAAGGUCCGCCCAGCGCGGACCGAGGGAGGAUGGGUGGUCCCGCGGGACCGCCUCGCACUCCCGGGGCGUCUCGUUCUCAUCGCGAGAAGAGGCGCACCCAGAGCGUACACGCUGGGACCCGAAAGAUGGUGAACUAUGCCUGGUCAGGACGAAGUCAGGGGAAACCCUGAUGGAGGUCCGUAGCGAUUCUGACGUGCAAAUCGAUCGUCGGAACUGGGUAUAGGGGCGAAAGACUAAUCGAACCAUCUAGUAGCUGGUUCCCUCCGAAGUUUCCCUCAGGAUAGCUGGCGCUCGCCUCUCGCGAGUCUCAUUCGGUAAAGCGAAUGAUUAGAGGCAUUGGGGUCGAAACGGCCUCAACCUAUUCUCAAACUUUAAAUGGGUGAGAUCUCCGGCUUGCUUGAACUGUGAAGCCGCGAGAUAUCGGAUCAGAGUGCCAAGUGGGCCACUUUUGGUAAGCAGAACUGGCGCUGUGGGAUGAACCAAACGCCGAGUUAAAGCGCCUAAAUCGACGCUUAUGGGAUACCAUGAAAGGCGUUGGUAACUUAAGACAGCAGGACGGUGGCCAUGGAAGUCGGA
rnacentral:rRNA from 1 species